AGAGCACGCGGUUGUGGGAGGGGCUUGUCUUGCUGUGGAGAUGGUGAAGGCGGCAGCAAGGGUUCGCUAUGAGCCUGGACCGGCUUUUGAGGAGGUCAAAGAAGAACCCAUGCUUGACAUAUCGCCAAAAACUUUCGGCAGGACUAUAUAUAGAUAUUUUAGUCUUUCGGCAGGACUAUAUAUAGAUAGCCAUGGCUAGAGGAGAGGUGAGCUCUUGAACCCUAGUUCAUUUGCUCCUCUAAUUUUUGUGUUUUUUGAAUUAGAGUUUGUGCUAUACUUUUUGAUGGGAAAGGAGGGCCCUAACCUCCUUGUGUCAUCCGAGCUUAUAGAUCACGGUUCGGGAUUAAUUUGGUACAACAUUUUCGCUGUGUUCUUCGAGUUCUCGUUUUGCUCCCGUCGGUGUCUUGGCUCGAUCUCCCUCGUCUCUCAAUCUUUUGCGAUUCCGUUUGAAACAUUUUGUGGCUUAUGCUCUUGUAAUUAUUUUUUCCAGAGGAAUUCAUGUUUCAUGGAUUGAGUGAGUAGAUCGAUCGUUUUCUUCGCUCGCCGUUCUUUCUUGCUUUCCCCUUCUUGUUUCUGUCCUUGCGCAGCAAUACUUCCAGCAGGGCACCUCAUAUGCAUUGAUGCUACGUUUCUAUUCUUUGGCAUCUGAACUUUACAUCAACUGCUGUAGCUAUGAGCCUGGAUCGGCUUUUGAGGAGGUCAAAGAAGAACCCAUGCUUGACAUAUCGCCAACAGACUCGACAGAGUUUUGGCUAAUAUAGUGGCCUAAAGAUCAGUUAGAUGUUUCUGAUUUCCAUGGUAAAGAGUUUUCUCUUCAGCUGCACAAGGAUGGAAACUCGGGCAAUUUGGAGAGUUCCUCAGGUAACAUAACCGGCUUGGGCUAUAGUGAAGUUGCUUUGACUUGGUGAUUGCAUGGGACUAUGGUGAAAUUGCUUUGACUCGAUGGUUACAUGGUUUAAUAGCUUUUGAGAUUUCUGGAGACUCUACGCUUGAGUAUUGUUCACUUCAACUUUAGCCAUGGCGUUUUUGCCGAAUAGCAUUUGUAUCCUAUACUAAAGAUAUCAGUGUCCAUCCUUUCAGUGGAACCAUUGUAUUUCCAUGGCUAACAUUGUGUCUGAAUCUCCUAAUAUGUUCUUUUUGGUAGCCCGAAUUAAGCAUUGAGUUUUAGUCAUUGUGGAGUUCUUAUUCUACCUAUAUCCUUGUUUAAUUUUUAGGGAAUGAACUACUAGUGCAUGGGUCCUUUGUGACAUAAAUUGAAAUCAAGAUGUAUGACUUACAAUGUA